UGUUUCGGCUAGGGGGUCAUCCCGACUUACCAACCCGAUGCAAACUGCGAAUACCGAAGAAUGUUAUCACGGGAGACACACGGCGGGUGCUAACGUCCGUCGUGAAGAGGGAAACAACCCAGACCGCCAGCUAAGGUCCCAAAGUCAUGGUUAAGUGGGAAACGAUGUGGGAAGGCACAGACAGCCAGGAUGUUGGCUUAGAAGCAGCCAUCAUUUAAAGAAAGCGUAAUAGCUCACUGGUCGAGUCGGCCUGCGCGGAAGAUGUAACGGGGCUAAACCAUGCACCGAAGCUGCGGCAGCGACACUAUGUGUUGUUGGGUAGGGGAGCGUUCUGUAAGCCGUUGAAGGUGGCCUGUGAGGGUUGCUGGAGGUAUCAGAAGUGCGAAUGCUGACAUAAGUAACGAUAAUGCGGGUGAAAAACCCGCACGCCGGAAGACCAAGGGUUCCUGUCCAACGUUAAUCGGGGCAGGGUGAGUCGACCCCUAAGGCGAGGCCGAAAGGCGUAGUCGAUGGGAAACAGGUUAAUAUUCCUGUACUUGGUGUUACUGCGAAGGGGGGACGGAGAAGGCUAUGUUAGCCGGGCGACGGUUGUCCCGGUUUAAGCAUGUAGGCGGAGGUUCCAGGUAAAUCCGGUACCUUUUUAACGCUGAGGUGUGAUGACGAGGCACUACGGUGCUGAAGUAACAAAUGCCCUGCUUCCAGGAAAAGCCUCUAAGCAUCAGGUAACACGAAAUCGUACCCCAAACCGACACAGGUGGUCAGGUAGAGAAUACCAAGGCGCUUGAGAGAACUCGGGUGAAGGAACUAGGCAAAAUGGUGCCGUAACUUCGGGAGAAGGCACGCUGAUAUGUAGGUGAAGUGAUUUACUCAUGGAGCUGAAAUCAGUCGAAGAUACCAGCUGGCUGCAACUGUUUAUUAAAAACACAGCACUGUGCAAACACGAAAGUGGACGUAUACGGUGUGACGCCUGCCCGGUGCCGGAAGGUUAAUUGAUGGGGUUAUCCGUAAGGAGAAGCUCUUGAUCGAAGCCCCGGUAAACGGCGGCCGUAACUAUAACGGUCCUAAGGUAGCGAAAUUCCUUGUCGGGUAAGUUCCGACCUGCACGAAUGGCGUAAUGAUGGCCAGGCUGUCUCCACCCGAGACUCAGUGAAAUUGAACUCGCUGUGAAGAUGCAGUGUACCCGCGGCAAGACGGAAAGACCCCGUGAACCUUUACUAUAGCUUGACACUGAACACUGGUCCUUGAUGUGUAGGAUAGGUGGGAGGCUUUGAAGUGUGGACGCCAGUCUGCAUGGAGCCAUCCUUGAAAUACCACCCUUUAAUGGCUGGUGUUCUAACGUGGACCCGUUACCCGGGUUGCGGACAGUGUCUGGUGGGUAGUUUGACUGGGGCGGUCUCCUCCUAAAGAGUAACGGAGGAGCACGAAGGUUAGCUAAUCCUGGUCGGACAUCAGGAGGUUAGUGCAAAGGCAUAAGCUAGCUUGACUGCGAGAGUGACGGCUCGAGCAGGUGCGAAAGCAGGUCUUAGUGAUCCGGUGGUUCUGAAUGGAAGGGCCAUCGCUCAACGGAUAAAAGGUACUCCGGGGAUAACAGGCUGAUACCGCCCAAGAGUUCAUAUCGACGGCGGUGUUUGGCACCUCGAUGUCGGCUCAUCACAUCCUGGGGCUGAAGUAGGUCCCAAGGGUAUGGCUGUUCGCCAUUUAAAGUGGUACGCGAGCUGGGUUUAGAACGUCGUGAGACAGUUCGGUCCCUAUCUGCCGUGGGCGCUGGAGAAUUGAGGGGGGCUGCUCCUAGUACGAGAGGACCGGAGUGGACGCAUCACUGGUGUUCGGGUUGUCAUGCCAAUGGCAUUGCCCGGUAGCUAAAUGCGGAAGAGAUAAGUGCUGAAAGCAUCUAAGCACGAAACUUGCCCCGAGAUGAGUUCUCCCUGAGACUA
rnacentral:rRNA from 1 species